UUGCUUUCUCCUGGAAAAUCUCUCAGAAGGGGAAAAGGUAUUCCAAUGACAACAUGAGUGUGAAUUUAUGUGGAGACUAAGCGGACCCAAAAGUAUUCAUUUUGAUUUUAUUGUUAGAACUAUCCGUAGAGAACUAACCACUUCAUUAGCAUGCCCCUGGCACUGGGGCGAAGAGCUGAAGUUUCAUUCUUCCGGACAUCGUGUUACUCACUUAGCCCUCUCAUCAUCGCUAAAUACACUUUCUACUCAACACAACCAGAUCCAAUGCAGUCACCUCGUCUGAGUAACACCUUAUUUUACAGACCUGACUUGCCCCAGCAAACACUUCUGGAGUGCCAAACCAGUGAUGGUUGCUACAGUUAUUUUCUCAUCUGCUCCUGUUUCAGAGGGAGGGAGAGAGACUGAAGAAAUUAUGAGAGGAGGAGUUGGAGCAAGCAAUCAGCCAGCACGAGGGAGAUAAGAUCUCACAAAACCUGUACAAAAUGCUGAUGAAAACGUUGCUAUCCAAAUGUCUCUUCUUUGGUUGCGUCAACUUCAAUCCCUGUCUGGCUCCACUGCAAAGUUACUGAACACAGUUCUUUGAAGUGAAUGAAGGAAAAUCUGAAUUUCAAAAUAUUUCUUCCAGAUAAGUCUUUCGCGAGCUCUGUUUCAAAAUGCUAUCACUUCGUUUGGUGUAUAUUUUAAACUGCAUCUGCGGCAGCAAGCCAGACCAUGUGUGACUGAACUAGUUAAGCGUAGUAGGAGUUUAGACUAGCAAUUCAAGCACUUGUCACUUAUUGGAAGACCCACAGUUCCCCUCUGGUUCUACUAUAAACCCCCUGGGGGAGCUUUAAGAAAUCCCUUCCCUUCUCCGUGCCUUCAUUACAGAUAGGAAAACUAACUUUUUCAAAGCACCUUGGAAUAUAAGAAUUACACUGGCAGAAAGGAGGUAAAUAUUUUUAGUAAUUAAAUACACAAAGCAAUGGAAGGAAGGAUGUAUUUUAACUGCUGGAUCGUUCUGUGCAUCACCAUUAGCCAUCCUGGCUAUUGCUACACUGCAUAUAAGAACGUUUUCUGACUCGAACUCCAUAUGGCCAGAUUGCCUAGUGAGGGAGCACUGUGAUCAUUGUUAACCUAAGGGCAGCCAGAGCUCAAGCUUCCAAUAAAUCCCAUCUGUCCUUGUGCCA
rnacentral:lncRNA from 1 species